rnacentral:rRNA from 1 species
UACGGGGGGGGGCAUGCGUUGUUCGGAAUUACUGGGCGUAAAGGGCUCGUAGGCGGCCAACUAAGUCGGAUGUGAAAUCCCCAGGCUUAACCUGGGAACUGCAUCCGAUACUGGAUGGCUUGAAUCCGGGAGAGGGAUGCAGAAUUCCAGGUGUAGCGGUGAAAUGCGUAGAUAUCUGGAGGAAUACCGGUGGCGAAGGCGGCGACCUGGACAGAUACUGACACUAAACUACGAAAGCGUGGGGAGCAAACAGG